UUUUACUGUAAAGGUUAUAUAGUUGGUUGUAUCUCACACAAAUGUUCUACUGUAAAGGUUUACUGCUGUGUAGUAGAACACAAACGUUCAACUGUAAAGGUUUACUGCUGUGUAGUAGAACACAAACGUUCUACUGUAAAGGUUUACUGCUGUGUAGUAGAACACAAACGUUCUACUGUAAAGGUUUACUGCUGUGUAGUAGAACACAAACGUUCUACUGUAAAGGUUUACUGCUGUGUAGUAGAACACAAACGUUCUACUGUAAAGGUUUACUGCUGUGUAGUAGAACACAAACGUUCUACUGUAAAGGUUUACUGCUGUGUAGUAGAACACAAACGUUCUACUGUAAAGGUUUACUGCUGUGUAGUAGAACACAAACGUUCUACUGUAAAGGUUUACUGCUGUGUAGUAGAACACAAACGUUCUACUGUAAAGGUUUACUGCUGUGUAGUAGAACACAAACGUUCUACUGUAAAGGUUUACUGCUGUGUAGUAGAACACAAACGUUCUACUGUAAAGGUUUACUGCUGUGUAGUAGAACACAAACGUUCUACUGUAAAGGUUUACUGCUGUGUAGUAGAACACAAACGUUCUACUGUAAAGGUUUACUGCUGUGUAGUAGAACACAAACGUUCUACUGUAAAGGUUUACUGCUGUGUAGUAGAACACAAACGUUCUACUGUAAAGGUUUACUGCUGUGUAGUAGAACACAAACGUUCUACUGUAAAGGUUUACUGCUGUGUAGUAGAACACAAACGUUCUACUGUAAAGGUUUACUGCUGUGUAGUAGAACACAAACACAUUCCAGCCAGG